GCAGAUGUGGCGGAACAGGUAGACGCAAGGGACUUAAAAUCCCUCGGACAUUUAAACGUCCGUGCCGGUUCGAUUCCGGCCAUCUGCACCA
rnacentral:tRNA from 1 species